rnacentral:misc_RNA from 1 species
GGCGUGGCUCAAGUUGACCCGCCCACUCAAUAUUCCCAUGACUUCCUUUCCCUCUCUCUCUCUCUGUCCUCUCUAUUCUUAUACAGGGUCUGGUAGUGUCCUUAUUUUCCAUUGGUUGUUUCAUUGGUGCUUUAGUCUCAGGAGCAUUGUCUGAUCCAAUUGGUCGGAAGCUAUCAAUCAUUGUGGGUGGAGUAGUCUUUUUUAUUGGAGGUGCCUUGCUAGCAACUUCUUUUAAUUUAUGGAUGGUAUUGGUUAGUCGAGUGGGUGCUAGGAUUGGCGUAGGAACCUUUUUUCUCCUUAUAUGUACAUGUAGUAUAUUGAGUAUGAUUGCUCCUGUAUAUAAUGCUGAGCUGGCACCAAAGACUUUAAGAGGAAGGCUAGUCUCAUUGAACCAGCUCUUCAUCACAGCCGGCAUAAUGAUCAGUUUUUGUGUCAGUGUUGCUGUUCAUACAGUUGAUUUUGGUUGGCGGAUAGCACUGGGUCUCCAGUGUGUGUUAGCUGUUGUACUUAUCAUUGGAAUGGUAUUCUUACCAGAGACACCCAGGUGGCUAGUGAAGAAAGGGAAGAGCAAGAAAGCAGAUAAGACCCUCCACAGGUUACGUAAGGACUACACUGAGGAAGAGAUAAAGGAAGAACUGAACGACAUUGAGUUUACUGUACGGAACUCAAACAAUUCUUUAAGGGACGUAUUUGCUGACGUAUUUAGAUGGAGGAUACUAAAAAGGAUACUUUUGGGAGUUAUACUGCAAAAGUUUCAGCAGUUGACUGGAAUAAAUGUCAUCAUGUAUUACUCAACCUCAAUAUUCUGCAGUAUAGACGUAUCCAGUUAUGCUACUACAGCAAUAGUGGGUGUGGUAAACUUCUUGACUACUCUCAUCACUCUCUUUAUCGUUGACAAGGUUGGUCAUAAGUCCCUGUUGCUAGUAGGGGCACUGGGUAUGUGUGUAUCUAUACUGGCAGCUGGUCUCCUUAUUCAUAUCUUUAAUGUUGAUGAGGAGAGAGAGGGAGGGAGUGAAGAGGAGAGACAGGUUGUUGGAUAUUUUGUGGCUUUCCUGAUUGUACUCUUUGUGGCUUUCUUUGCAUCUACCUGGGGGCCAGUUGUUUGGGUAGUGACUAGUGAAAUAUUCCCUCUCUCUGUUAGAGGUGUUGCUGUUUCAGUCACUACUUCUGGUAACUGGAUUGCAAACUUUUGGGUUGCUAUGGUAACCCCAUUACUUCUUGGUUCUGUACUAAAGACGGCCGGUACAUUCUACAUACUGGCAGGGUUUCUCUUUGCCUCAUUUUUAUUUGUGUUGCUAACACUUCCUGAAACAAAAGGAGAGAGUUUAGAGAGAAUUGAUGAAUUGUUUCUAAAGCUAUGGCUACAGAGGAUUAACCUAUUCUACUAUCUGAGAUUCCUUCGUGAUUGACGAAAAUACAAUCUGUGAAAAUCAGUUUAACUUCUGAUUAAGACCUGUGGUUACUGCGUUUAUACAGUAUCUAGGGCACCACUGUGUUGUUGUCCAUGGUCUAAUGCUUGUAGGGUAAGGACUGCACGAAGAGAACACUGUAGCCAUUGUUGGUAUAAAGAAUGAGAACAAAGAUG